rnacentral:rRNA from 1 species
GACGAACGCUGGCGGCGUGCUUAACACAUGCAAGUCGAGCGGAAAGGCCCUUCGGGGUACUCGAGCGGCGAACGGGUGAGUAACACGUGAGUAACCUGCCCUUGGCUCUGGGAUAAGCCCGGGAAACUGGGUCUAAUACCGGAUAUGACCAUCAGAUGCAUGUCUUGGUGGUGGAAAGAUUUUUCGGCUGGGGAGUGGCGUCGCGGUCUAUCAGCUUGUUGGUGGGUGAUGGCCUACCAAGGCGACGACGGUAGCCGGCCUGAGAGGGUGACCGGCCACACUGGGACUGAGACACGGCCCAGACUCCUACGGGAGGCAGCAGUGGGGAAUAUUGCGCAAUGGGCGGAAGCCUGACGCAGCGACGCCGCGUGGGGAUGAA